rnacentral:rRNA from 1 species
AUUGAACGCUGGCGGCAUGCCUUACACAUGCAAGUCGAACGGCAGCACGGGUGCUUGCACCUGGUGGCGAGUGGCGAACGGGUGAGUAAUACAUCGGAACUUGUCCUGUCGUGGGGGAUAGCCCGGCGAAAGCCGGCUUAAUACCGCAUACGAUCCACGGUUGAAAGCGGGGUACCUUCGUUUCUCGCUCUAUCGGGUUGGCCGAUGCCUUGUUAGGUUGUUGGUGGGGUAAAGGCCUACCAAGGCGACGAUCAGUAGCUGAUCUGAGAGGACGACCAGCGACACUGGGAGUGAGACGAGGCAGAGGGUACUACGGGAGGCAGAAGUGGGGAAUUGUGGAAAAAGGGGGAAAGAAUGAACCAGCAAGGCCGCGUGUGUGAAGAAGGCCUGCGGGGGGGAAAGAAGGUUUGUGGGGAAAAAAAUCCUUGGCUAUAAAACAAACGGGGGAUGACGGUACCGGAAGAAGAAGCACCGGCUAACUACGUG